rnacentral:piRNA from 1 species
CAGUCAUGGUGGUCUUCCUUAGGGAGCCC